UACGUAGGGUGCGAGCGUGAAUCGGAAUUACUGGGCGUAAAGCGUGCGCAGGCGGCUUCGCAAGUCAGCCGUGAAAUCCCCGGGCUUAACCUGGGAAUGGCGUUUGAAACUACGGAGCUGGAGUGUGGCAGAGGGAGGUAGAAUUCCACGUGUAGCGGUGAAAUGCGUAGAUAUGUGGAGGAAUACCGAUGGCGAAGGCAGCCUCCUGGGCCAACACUGACGCUCAUGCACGAAAGCGUGGGGAGCAAACAGG
rnacentral:rRNA from 1 species